rnacentral:rRNA from 1 species
UACGUAGGCAGCGAGCGUUGUCCGGAAUCACUGGGCGUAAAGGGAGUCUAGGCGGUUUGGUAAGUGGGAUGUGAAAUGCCCGGGCUCACCCCGGGACCUGCAUCCCAAACUGCUGAGCUUGAGUACAGGAGGGGGUGGGGGAACUCCAGGUGUAGCGGUGAAAUGCGUAGAUAUCUGGAGGAACACCGGUGGCGAAGGCGCCCACCUGGCCUGCUACUGACGCUGAAGCUCGAAAGCUAGGGGAGCAAACGGG